rnacentral:tRNA from 1 species
CUGACCUUAGCUCAGUUGGUAGAGCGGAGGAUUGUAGAUCCUUAGGUCGCUGGUUCGAAUCCGGUAGGUUGGA